AAGGGAGGAGAAGAAUGAAUGAGAUACUCCUCACUCUGGCACAGCUUGCAAGAGAAACACAAAGAGGCUCCAAACUAAAUGGAGUGCAGCACUCGGGAACCAUGAGUGGAGGUCAGGAUGAGGUCACCAAUGAAGGAUGGGGAACAUCCAGAAAGAGGCUGCAAAUACUGCAGUUUUACAGCAUUCCCAGGUUGCCCGGCCCUGAAUCUCAGGCCUCAUUCAGAGCCACACGCUGCCCUUUCCUCAUCAGCUGAGCAAAACAAGAGCAGAAAUCCUUCUUAUCUCUGCUACAUAAACAUCAGGAAUACAUGGUGCAUGGCCCUUGGCUCCCUGUUGCAAUUCCUCCUGGAGCAGGGAGGCUGAGGUGCCCCGUGGCUGUUGCAAUCCACAUGGGUGACUUUUGGAAAGGCA
rnacentral:lncRNA from 1 species